ACUUAGGUAAUUUAAUUUAAAAUUUUGAUUUGUGGUGUCAAGUAUGUGGGUUUAUACCACCUUAGGUC
rnacentral:tRNA from 1 species